AUCCAGCUGACAAGUCCCAAAUAGGAUGAAACCUCGCGUCCUGGAU
rnacentral:hammerhead_ribozyme from 1 species